AAAAGAACUCUGAAUAGAGAGUUAAAUAGUACGUGAAACUGCUUAGAGGUUAAACCCGAUGAACCUGAAUAUCCAAUAUAAAGAAUUCAUCAUUAAUAUAUUAAUUAUAAUUAAUAUAAUGGUGUGCAUUUUCUUUAUAUAAUGGACAUUGUAAUCUAUUAAUAUAAUAUAUAUUUAUCAUAAGAUCAUAAGCAUAUGUUUAUUUUAAUUAAAUUGUUUCGGCUUUUUAAUAUAAAAUAAUUGCUAUUGAUUUGAUAAAGUGUUGAUAGAUUUAAUCAUAUGUAUAAUGCAUAAAUUUAUUUAAAUUUUAUAAUAUAGUAAUAUAUUAUAAGCAUUUAUACGAUUAACAAUGCGAAAGAUUCAGGAAACCUUCGGGAC
rnacentral:rRNA from 1 species